rnacentral:rRNA from 1 species
UACGAGGGGGGCGAGCGUUGUUCGGAAUUAUUGGGCGUAAAGGGUGCGUAGGCGGUUUGUUGCGUCGGGAGUGAAAACCAGGUGCUUAACACCUGGCCUGCUUUCGAUACGGGCAGACUAGAGGCAUUCAGGGGAGAACGGAAUUCCUGGUGUAGCGGUGAAAUGCGCAGAUAUCAGGAGGAACACCGGUGGCGAAGGCGGUUCUCUGGGAAUGUUCUGACGCUGAGGAGCGAAAGUGUGGGGAGCGAACAGG